rnacentral:rRNA from 1 species
UACGUAGGGUGCGAGCGUUGUCCGGAAUUAUUGGGCGUAAAGAGCUCGUAGGCGGUGUGUCGCGUCGGCCGUGAAAACCUGCAGCUUAACUGUGGGCUUGCGGUCGAUACGGGCAUCACUGGAGUUCGGCAGGGGAGACUGGAAUUCCUGGUGUAGCGGUGAAAUGCGCAGAUAUCAGGAGGAACACCGAUGGCGAAGGCAGCUCGCUGGGACGGUACUGACGCUGAGGCGCGAAAGCGUGGGGAGCAAACAGG